UUUCCGUAGGUGAACCUGCGGAAGGAUCAUUACAGAGAACUUGCCCUUCGGGGUAGAUCUCCCACCCUUUGUUUACCUUACCUUUGUUGCUUUGGCAGGCCCGUCCCUCGGGACCGCCGGCUUCGGCUGGCCAGUGCCUGUCAGAGGACCCCAAACUCUUGUUUAAUUGUCGUCUGAGUACUAUAUAAUAAGUUAAAACUUUCAACAACGGAUCUCUUGGUUCUGGCAUCGAUGAAGAACGCAGCGAAAUGCGAUAAGUAAUGUGAAUUGCAGAAUUCAGUGAAUCAUCGAAUCUUUGAACGCACAUUGCGCCCUCUGGUAUUCCGGGGGGCAUGCCUGUUCGAGCGUCAUUACAACCCUCAAGCUCUGCUUGGUAUUGGGCGUCACCAUCUCGGUGCGCCCCAAAAUCAGUGGCGGUGCCAUCUGGCUUCAAGCGUAGUAAUUCUUCUCGCUCUGGACGACCGGUUGCGUACCUGCCAGCAACCCCCAAUUUAAUCAAAGGUUGACCUGGAUCAGGUAGGGAUACCCGCUGAACUUAAGCAUAUCAAUAAGCGGG
rnacentral:rRNA from 1 species